rnacentral:rRNA from 1 species
AACGAACGCUGGCGGCAGGCUUAACACAUGCAAGUCGAACGCAUCCUUCGGGGUGAGUGGCAGACGGGUGAGUAACGCGUGGGAACGUGCCCUUCAGUCCGGAAUAACCCAGGGAAACUUGGGCUAAUACCGGAUACGUGCGAGAGCAGAAAGAUUCAUCGCUGAAGGAUCGGCCCGCGUCUGAUUAGCUAGUUGGUGGGGUAAUGGCCCACCAAGGCGACGAUCAGUAGCUGGUCUGAGAGGAUGAUCAGCCACAUUGGGACUGAGACACGGCCCAAACUCCUACGGGAGGCAGCAGUGGGGAAUAUUGGACAAUGGGCGCAAGCCUGAUCCAGCCAUGCCGCGUGAGUGAUGACGGCCUUAGGGUUGUAAAGCUCUUUCGUCCGGGACGAUAAUGACGGUACCGGAAGAAGAAGCCCCGGCUAACUUCGUGCCAGCCGCCGCAGUAA